CCUGGAGUGGGAGUUCCGGAGCCCUUCAGAGCCCCUGCUCCCUCAGCUGUGUCUUGUGGGCAAGGUCUGAAUUCUUGCUUGAAGAGACGCACCUAUGCUACCCAUCUCUGCUAACACAGCCAGCCCAAACACAGGUUUGUACGAGCAGGAAGCAGAAUCCGGAGCUGCAGCCAGAGUCUAACCAGGCACUUUGAUGUGGGACCUGGUAUUCAACCAGCGUCUUAACCCCAAGGACAAAGGCCUGUCUUCCAGAAUGAUGGGAGUAUGUCAAAACAACACAGGAGGAUGUUCAGUUUCCAGAAUGGCCGAGUAAUCCCUAUCAUACAGCCUUCUCUAAACCACCUACCCUGGGCAGAAUAUGAAACAGUAACGACCAAAGAGAGGAAUCUACUGCAUGGGAUUGCUACUUGGAAGAGCAAAGCUUCCUGGUUUUUACAGCUUUUAGCCUGAGGGGAGUCUACAGUCUUAGAAUAUUUCCCCACAAAUUACUGAUUAAUCUCAAAAGGAAAAAUAAUAAUUGUAUGAUUGAGGAAACAGGCAACAUCCUAACCAAAUGAUCAAUAGCACUGUCCAUAAGGCCAGAUGUCAUAGUUUCAGACGUGAUGCCCUCGAGACAAGGCAACAUUCUUCUAGUGUUUCAGCCAACGACGCAGAGUCUGAACCUAACCAUGAGGCGUGUUCCACGAACUCAAGAUGAGAAGCAUUCUAAAAAUGUGUCCUGCAUCCUUCAAAAAUGUCCAAAGAAAAGCUAAGACACUUUUCCAGGUUAAAGAGAUGUGACAACUAAAUGCAGUAUAUGAUUUUGGACAGAUCUUUUACUGGGGAAAAAAAAUCCUAUAGACAUUAAAAACAUUGGGGCCGGCGCUGUGGCGUAGCAGGUUAAGCCGCCACCUGCAGUGCCAGCAUCCCAUAUGGGCACUGGUUCCAGUCCUGGCUGCUCCACUUCUGAUCUAGCUCUCUGCUAUGGCCUGGGAAAGCAAUAGAACAUGGCCCCAAGUCCUUGGACUCCUGCACUACUCACAUGGAAGACCCAGAGGAAGCUCCUGGCUCCUGGCUUCAGCUCCAAUCGUUGUGGCCAACUGGGGAGUGAACCAGCGGAUGGAAGACCUUUCUCUCUCUCUCUCUCUCUCUCUCUCUGCCUCUCCUCUCUCUGUGUA